GAUGAACGCUAGCGACAGGCCUAACACAUGCAAGUCGAGGGGCAGCACGAAGUAAGCUUGCUUACUUUGGUGGCGACCGGCGCACGGGUGCGUAACAGGUGUGCAAUCUGUCCAUAAUCGGGGAAUAGCCCAGCGAAAGUUGGAUUAAUGCUCCAUGUGAGUUUUAGAGGCAUCUCUUUAACUUGAAACGUAAGGAUUAUGGGUGAGCACGCUUCUGAUUAGGUAGUUGGUGAGGUAACGGCUCACCAAGCCGACGAUCAGUAGGGGUUCUGAGAGGAAGGGCCCCCACAUUGGAACUGAGACACGGUCCAAACUCCUACGGGAGGCAGCAGUGAGGAAUAUUGGUCAAUGGGCGAAAGCCUGAACCAGCCAAGUCGCGUGAAGGAUGAAGGUUCUAUGGAUUGUAAACUUCUUUUGUCUGAGGGUAAAAAAGCGGACGUGUCCGUUCUUGCAAGUAUCAGACGAAUAAGCGUCGGCUAACUCCGUGCCAGCAGCCGCAGUAACAC
rnacentral:rRNA from 1 species